UCCCUGGUGGCUCAGACAGUAAAGCAUCUGCCUACAAUGUGGGAGACCAGGGUUUGAUCCCUAGGCCAGGGAG
rnacentral:tRNA from 1 species